AGCGAACGCUGGCGGCAGGCCUAACACAUGCAAGUCGAGCGCCCCGCAAGGGGAGCGGCAGACGGGAGAGUAACACGUGGGAACGUACCCUUCAGUUCGGAACAACCCAGGGAAACUUGGGCUAAUACCGGAUACGUCCGUAAGGAGAAAGAUUUAUCGCUGAAGGAUCGGCCCGCGUCUGAUUAGCUAGUUGGUGAGGUAACGGCUCACCAAGGCGACGAUCAGUAGCUGGGCUGAGAGGAUGAUCAGCCUCACUGGGACUGAGACACGGCCCAGACUCCUACGGGAGGCAGCAGUGGGGAAUAUUGGACAAUGGGCGCAAGCCUGAUCCAGCCAUGCCGCGUGGAUGAUGAAGGCCCUAGGGUUGUAAAGUCCUUUCGGCGGGGAAGAUAAUGACGGUACCCGCAGAAGAAGCCCCGGCUAACUUCGUGCCAGCAGCCGCCGUAA
rnacentral:rRNA from 1 species